CCUACGGGCGGCAGCAGUGAGGAAUAUUGCACAAUGGGGGAGACCCUGAUGCAGCGACGCCGCGUGAGUGAGGAAGUAUUUCGGUACGUUAAGCUCUAUCAGCCGGGAAGAAAAUGACGGUACCUGACUACGAAGCCCCGGCUAACUACGUGACAGCAGCCGCGGGAAUACGUAGGGGGCAGGCGUUAUCCGGAUUUACUGGGUGUAAAGGGAGCGUAGACGGCAGCGCAAGUCUGGAGUGAAAUCCCAUGGCUUAACCAUGGAACUGCUUUGGAAACUGGGCAGCUAGAGUGGAGGAGAGGUAAGCGGAAUGCCCAGUGUAGCGGUGAAAUGCGUAGAUAUUAGGAGGAACACCAGUGGCGAAGGCGGCUUACUGGACUGUAACUGACGUUGAGGCUCGAAAGCGUGGGGAGCAAACAGGAUUAGAUACCCCUGUAGUC
rnacentral:rRNA from 1 species